AGUCACUUCCGGGGAAGAUCGGAAGUUGCUUUGUUUUGCUUCAAGAUGGCUGCUGGGAUGUAUUUGGAACAUUAUCUGGACAGUAUUGAAAACCUCCCGUUUGAAUUACAGAGAAACUUUCAGCUCAUGAGGGACCUAGACCAAAGGACAGAGGACCUGAAGGCUGAAAUUGACAAGUUGGCCACUGAAUAUAUGAGUAGCGCCCGCAGCCUGAGCUCCGAGGAGAAGCUGGCCCUUCUCAGACAGAUCCAGGAGGCCUAUGGCAAGUGCAAGGAAUUUGGUGACGACAAGGUGCAGCUGGCCAUGCAGACCUAUGAGAUGGUAGACAAACACAUUCGGCGGCUGGACACAGACCUGGCCCGUUUUGAGGCUGAUCUGAAGGAGAAACAGAUCGAGUCCAGUGACUAUGACAGCUCUUCUAGCAAAGGCAAAAAGAGCCGGACCCAAAAGGAGAAAAAGGCUGCCAGAGCCCGUUCCAAAGGGAAAAACUCAGAUGAAGAAGCCCCCAAGGCUGCCCAGAAGAAGUUAAAACUUGUGCGCACGUGAGUAUACCAGAGGACGCCCGCCUCCCAGCCAGCCUCGUGCCACUUUCCCUGUCUUCUGUGCCAGUAACUCUGUCACUGUGGUGUCUGCUGGACGGAGAGGAAGCCACACAUCACUUGCCUCACCACGAUCUUCUACCACCUCAGAGCGCAGGUUGUAGCUUCCCUUCCUGCGGAUGACAUUUGUCUUCCUCUUGGCAUACAGAAGUCCUGAGUAUGGGAUGCCCUCAGUGACCUUUGGCAGUGUCCACCCCUCUGAUGUGUUGGAUAUGCCUGUGGAUCCCAACGAACCCACAUAUUGCCUUUGUCACCAGGUCUCCUAUGGAGAGAUGAUUGGCUGUGACAACCCGGAUUGUUCCAUCGAGUGGUUCCACUUCGCCUGUGUGGGGCUGACAACCAAACCUCGAGGGAAAUGGUUUUGCCCACGCUGCUCCCAAGAACGGAAGAAGAAAUAGGUUUCCCUGGAUUCCAUUACAGACUUCUGCAUCCCCCUGACCUGGGCUAGUGGACAGAGUGGAAGGCCUGUGCUGGGGACGGGGGGCCCAGGGAGAUGUGGACAGUGCGGUACCGUCAUCCCUCUCCCUCCUCCCCACUCGGUGCUGAGGCUGCAUCCAAACCCCAGUAGGGAGGGUGCCGCAGCCAGUGACGGUAUGUGCUCUCCUCCCGCCUCUCCCAGAGGGAAGUAAUCUCACUCACUGUCCUUUUGCCUCCUUGGUGAGGUUGGUGCUGUAUUUCAGAGGGAGGGUCCUCUUCAUUCCCCUUGCUUUGACUUAAGGACUGGGGCAGUGGAGUGGGGCACUUUCCCAGUCCCCUCACUCCUCCUUCCCCCAUUGGGAGCUAGGCAGGACAGACUGCCUUCUCUGCACUCUUCCUGUUCUCCAUGGGGAGGGUUCUUCUAGGUCAUUUGGGCAGUGGCCUAGUUAAGUGGUUACCCCAACCUCUAUGGCCCGGGGAUUUAUGCUGACUCUGAAUGGGAGAGGGGCAAGGUAGACCGCAGGUUACUCACAUGUAAAAGGAGUUGGGGUAGGUAAAUAAAAGCUAUCCAUGCUAGCCUGCUGUGUUUAUUGUAGAGACUGUUUAAGUAUAUGUGGUAAGCAUUCUUUUCGCAUCCUCUGGAUUGGAUGAGAGGCAGGAAGAUGGCUUGCCAGAAAUAGGACAAGACAUAAAAUCCAAAAUGGUCCUGUCCUGUGGUGUCCACAGCUUCUCCACCUGGAGGAGUGCCUUGCAUCGGGGGACUCAGAAUUUUGUAAUUACGAAUCUCCUCUCCGUGAAACACCUUUAACCCAAUUCCAAUAAAUCAUGUAUUUGCUUUAUAUGUGUGUGCGGUGAUAGUAUUAGCUUGAUUUCUUCUAAAUACAAAAUAGAUACAAACAGGUAUUUUCUCCCCAUCUCCCUAUGAGUUGUGUUGGUCCCCUCCCUCUUGAAACGGUAUCCCUUGGACCACUGAACCAUCCUUUCAUGUGUGCUCGCCUUGGUCAGCCCUGCUUCAUUUUAACUUUGGGCCUGUUUCCUACGGAAGAGGUGUCCUCCCUAGUUCCUACCCCUCCCUGCCUUCCUUUCAGACAUCCAGCUCUGCUGCCCACAGUGCUGCCUAUACUCAACAGCCAGGUCUCCACAAAACCGCGGAUGUUGCUUCGCAAAACCCACCAUCUUUAUCUGAAGAAGGGGUCAUAGUACACACCUCCUGGGUCUAGGGGUUAAGUGGCAGGAAGUAGCGCGCAGACCCCGGGGUUACAGCUAGGAGAAAUUAGGAGCAGGAUUUUAGGUUCACUUCCCGGCAACACAAAAAUAAAUUCGAAAAAAGUGGUACCGAGCAAUAGAGGUCCUACGCUGUUGAAGACCGACUGGAAGGGCUGCUGUAGCCUGUGGCUCCUGACAUGGCCCCCUUGUCCUUGGCCUGCUACUGGUGCAGCUCAGAGGAGUUCACCUCGUGGCCUGGCCCCGCCCUCACCUUCUGUGACGUAGCAGCCGCGCCUCCUGCCUUCUUCGCGCUAGCAGCGAGGCUCGGCCCGUUGGAGGUCGCUUUGUUGUGAAAACGCGGGUGGAUCUUCCCAGGCCAUGAUGAAUCUAGCUGCUGGCUUCCUUCUAAUGCUUCUGGAAGGUGAGAAGCUACGCUUGGCCCAUUUGGAAGCUGCUGUGGUCUGAAAGCGCAGGUGGAUCUUCCCUGGGGCUCCCUUAUGCUCCUGAAGGGCCCUGAGCCCCCUCCCUUUUUUUUAAUGGGUUUUGAGACAGCUGUCUCCAGGUGGUUGAGUUGUACCUGAUCCGAGCUUGGUUGGUUUUUUAUCUAUUGUCCCUUGAAGCCUUCCACUGUAGUCACCAGGCAUCACCCAAGACACACACACACACACACUCCAGUUCUUAGUUCAUUGUCGGGGAGUGGGAGGGUCUACUUCUAGCCUGGGUCUGGCCACUGGACCCCAAGUGCAUUGUGGGUUAAGGUCCAUUCUUGUCUGUCCCCCUACCCUGCAGUGCUGCUCCUGCCUGGAACACCUCUUUCCGCUGAGGAAUCUCCAGCCUCCACUCCAGGCAGCCCUCUCUCGUCCACUGAGUAUGAACGUUUCUUCGCCCUGCUGACCCCAACCUGGAAGGCAGAGACCACCUGCCGCCUCCGUGCCACCCACGGCUGCCGGAACCCCACUCUCGUUCAGUUGGAUCAAUAUGAAAACCACGGAUUGGUACCAGAUGGUGCUGUCUGCUCCGAUCUCCCUUAUGCUUCCUGGUUUGAGUCCUUCUGCCAGUUUGCUCAGUAUCGUUGCUCCAACCAUGUCUACUAUGCCAAGGUGAGACCUCCCAGAGUGGGGACUGCAGUUCCCAGCCCUAGCUUGGCAGCUUGCAACAGUCUGUAACUCCAGUCCUGGGAGAUCCAACGCCCCCUUCUGGCCUCCACAAGCACUGCAUGAAUCCAGGCAAAACACCUAUAUACAUAAAAAAAAAAAGCCCUCUGGGCCUUUUGUAAAU
ensembl:processed_transcript Gm44597 predicted gene 44597